UUUAAAUACAAUGUAUGCAGGCAUCUCAAAAUGGUGUGAUAGGCAUAACCUUGGUAGCUAAUUGGUUUUUGCCGCUCAGAGAUACCAAAUCUGAUCAAAAGGCUACAGAAAGAGCAAUUGAUUUCAUGUAUGGAUGGUAAGAAUUCCUCUUUCCUUUUAUGUAACUUUGGUUUCUUCAAAAUACAUAGGCAUUUAUUGCACUAAAAUAGUCAAAUUAUAAAUACAAUUGACAAGUAGUAUUAAUUUAUCAUACUAUACCUUGAUAUAAUAAGGAUUCACAAUCCUUAGCUUUUGAAGGCUUCUACGCAUUUCUCAAACAAUAAAUGGAAGGCCUUUAGGGAUAUAUAUAUGAACAAAUAAUUUAUUUUAAGAAUAAUUCUUUUAAAAUUAUUUCUUAUUUUUAUCAUUCAUUUUCUUAAAAUCUAGUGAUUGAUUAGAUUUUAAAAAAUUAAAUAGUUACUUUUAUAGUAAUUAUAAAAAAGUUAUAUAUAUAUAUAUAUAUAUAUAUAUAUAUAUAUAUGAUGUUUACAAUGCAUGACUUGUUAAACAAAAAAGUUGAAUUCACAAUUAUUUUUUAUUUAUUUCAGGUUUAUGGAUCCAUUAACAUCUGGAGACUAUCCAAAAAGCAUGAGAUCACUUGUGAGGACACGAUUGCCAAAAUUUACUGUAGAACAAUCCAAACUACUUAUUGGUUCAUUUGAUUUUAUUGGCCUAAACUAUUACUCUACAACAUAUGCCUCUGAUGCACCUCAGCUAAGCAAUGCUAGGCCUAGCUACUUAACAGAUUCUCUUGUCACUCCUGCAUGUAAGGACUUCAAUCCUCUGUCAUUCUAUCAAUUCCCAAAAUUACAUCUAUAGACAAUUGAAUAUGAUCAUGGAUGAUAAUGGUUUGUAUUUUAUGUUAUUGACUUAUUGCAGAUGAACGUGAUGGAAAACCUAUAGGAAUAAAGGUACGUGUAUACGCACCCAAACAUGCAAAUACUCUAUUGGUUCUAACUUCUAAUUCUGAUAAAAUAUACAACUAACUUUUUUUUUUAUUUUUAAAUUAAGCAGAUUGCUUCAGACUGGUUAUACGUUUAUCCAAGAGGAAUUAGUGAUCUUUUAUUGUAUACCAAGGAAAAGUACAAUAAUCCUUUGAUUUACAUCACUGAAAAUGGUAAGCAAUACUCGUCUAUAUGUAGUUAAUUUUCUUCAAUGCAAUGUUGUAUACUAUUAUUCAUGAUUUUUCAAUUUUCGUAACUUAUUAAAAUUUUUUCCUAACUUAUAUCUUACAAAUUUAUAGGUAUAAAUGAAUAUGAUGAACCAACGCUAUCACUUGAAGAAUCUCUUAUAGAUACCUUCAGAAUUGAUUAUCAUUAUCGUCAUCUCUUUUAUCUUCAAUCAGCAAUUAGGUAAAUAUUUUAUUAUAUAUAAUAAGUUUAUGUUAAUUUGUUAUACAAGUUAAUAGUUUUUAAUUCAUUUUCUUUUAACUUACAAACUUGAUAUAUAUACAGGAAUGGCGCAAAUGUUAAAGGAUAUUAUGUAUGGUCUUUGAUUGAUAAUUUUGAGUGGUCUUCGGGCUAUACAUCGCGAUUUGGAAUGAUCUUCGUGGAUUACAAAAAUGAUUUGAAGAGAUACCAAAAAUUGUCUGCACUAUGGUUCAAGGAUUUUCUCAAAAAAGAAACCAAACUUUAUGGCUCCAAUAAAUAGUGUUGUGAACUUUGUUUAUCAAAUAAUUAUAUUUUGUAAAUAAUUAUUUGAUAUAUAUUUGUUAUUCUUUUAUUCUAAAAAGGUCCCAUUGGACUUACAGGGGAAAUAGCUAGAGAUUUAUUAGAUUGUUCUUUUUUUUUUACAAGCUUUUAAAGAGGUCCUAUUGGAUUAGAGGGGCUAUAGAGAUUUAUUUGACCAUUCUUUUAUUCUAAAGAGGUCCUAUUGGACUUAUAAGGGAAAUAGAGAUGCUGAUUAAUUUGGUGAUAAUUGCUACUAAUGUUACAAUAAGAAGGAAAAAAACGUUAUGAUAAAGAUGUCACUAAUUUACAAUUGAUUGUAUUUGAUAAUUUAUUGAAUCUUAUGUUCGGGGAUUUUGUGAAAGUUAAUGAUAGUAAAGCUUACUUUCACUCUAAUCCCAUCGAGUGGCUAGAAAAUAGAAUUAAAACGAACCUACGAACUAUUAGCACUAAAUCAUUGAACCGAUCUUAUAGUAAAAAAUCAAUGAUAUAUAAGAAAAGAUGUAUGGAUUUAAACAUAUAUAAAUAUAUUCUUAUGAACACUAUCAUAACAUAUCUGUAUAAGUUUUGGCAUCCUAGUAUUGAGAAUGAAAUUUAAUAUGAUCAGGGUUGAUAUUAAUGUUAUUGAGUAACUUAGUUUGAAUUCUCAAUGGAAUGUGAGGACUUAGAAUCAAAUUCUUUCUGUUAUAGAUGACAAUAUGGGUAAUAUAUAUGUGCUCAAAAGGGGAUGAAUUGAACAUUUCAAAGUUUUUUCCAAAUCAAUUUUCCUAUCCUCCUUUAAAAACCUAUCAAAAUUAGUUUCUAUAUUUUCAAUUGAUUUCACUUGCAAUUGAUUAUACAGUAUUUAUUAAUUUACUGCAACUUAUAUUGGAGGAUUUUUGUGAAAGUUAAUAAUAGUAAAACUCAGUGUGGCUAGAAUAAAAACGGACAUGUGAACUUUAGUCACUACAUCAACGGACAAUUCUUAUAUAUAGUGAGAAAAAAAAUUUAAAACCAAGUUUGAAGAAAUUGAUAAAGGAAAUCAAAAGAAAUAUAAUAAUAAUUAGGUUUGAAGAAUCAAAGAAAAUGAUUAAGUUGAGAAUAAUUACAUGAAAAUCGUAAAUUUACCAUAAAAACAAUAAAUAAAGUACUUGAAAUUAAAAAAUAUUUGAAGAGAAGAAAGAGUAAGAAGAAAAAAGUAAUAUGGAAAUUAAAUUAAAGGUUGGUAUGGUAAAUUGAAAUAGAAAAUUAAAUUGAUAAAAAAGUAAAGAGAUGCUCGAGUUUUCAUAUGGUAGCUAGGUUAACCAUGAGAGAGUACUGAUUACAAAUCACAGAAAGUCAGUUAUAGAUGGGGCGGGGCCACAGGAAGCCUUACGAAUGUGACUGUCCUGCUAUUUAAUUGUUGUGGAAAUGGUGAAACAAAUAACACGAAUGAACACACACACACACAUAUGAUGAAAGCCCUAAUAGUCCUUAAGAAAUAAUAUUGCUGCACCAUAGGUUAUGUAAUUAGUCAAGCAUUGAUUUGACUACAAUAUUCGUUGCUAAGAACAAACUAAUGUCGUAGUGCAUCUCAUUGGGGAGGCGGAAGGAAGUGCAGUUGUUGGUUGCAGCCUUUUUUUUUUUUUUUUUAAUAAUUUUCGUGUUACUAGCUUCCACGUAACUUCGUGUGAAGAACCAUAUGCGCUUUCCCUUUUUCAAAAUACUGUUUUGUCUCUUUGACCCCACACACACACACACAUAUAUAUAUAUAUAUAUACACACACACACAAAUUAAGAUCACAUGUGCGCUUAUUAAUUUUCUUGUUAAACAAUGUCGUCUAAAGGAAAGCCUUUCUUUUAUUAUACUUAAUCAACAUCAUUAGGAAAAUGGCCAAAGUAAGAAAAACUCGCUCGGGAAAAGUCAGCAAGAAUAUAUGUAUCAAACAAGGUAGGCACGUGCAUAGUGUUUAGUCAGUCCACUAGUCAACGGUAGCAUAUAUUAUUAUUUUCAAAUCAAAUCGUCAUUGUCAUGGCGUGGUAGUAGGAAUUCUGAUAGGAAGAAGCUGCAGCAGAAGCUCAUGACAGCAGGCCCAAGAGGAGCACUAACAGACCUUCAUAUCUUGAUGAUUUUGUGUAGCCUCUGUAGGAUCGAAUAGCAGUAGUGCUAUUUCAGGAUAUUAGUGGAGGUAUAAAGUCUGCUAUUAGUGGAGAAUCAAUUCUGUUAGGAUCACAUAAGCUUGUUAUUACCUGUACAAACAUGAGUAAAUAAAUGAAUCAGCAUAGAUGAAUUUGAGUAAGAAUUGUGUAGUAACAGAUAUCUUCACUCGUAAUUAUCCUGAUAAGAUCAUGGAUAGAAGCAAGGGAGACGUGGCAAUUGACUCUAUCACCACUACAAGAGGAAGAUGUUGGGAUGAUGAAGGAUAUGAAUUUGGAUUCAUAUAGAUUUUCCAUUUAUUGGUCAAGGAUUCUCCCAAGUAAGUUAAUUGCAAACAAAGCAAUGUCUAAUUUGAACUAAAUUUUGCCUAGUUGGAUGUUAAUUUCCCAUUAACUAUUUUUUUUAAUAAACUAUAUAUUUACCGAAGGAAAGCUAAGUGGAGGUAUAAAUCAAGAAGGAAUUAACUAUUACAACAACUUAUCCAUGAGCUAGUGGCUAAUGGUUAGAAUUUAAACUCAAUUGGUUCAACUUUAUGUGUACUUCUAAUUUUAUUUUAUUAUAUUGCCUUGGUUUUAAUUAUCAUAAUUUAUUAAAUAUUAACAAUUAUAGGUAUACAAUCACUGUUAGAAAUAGCUGCUAUUCCUCGAUCUGGGACGACCAUAACCAUUUGGCAGCUUUUGAGAUCAUCCAUGCAAGGUGAUUUUGGGAACACAUCACAGAUGACGUGAUCAUACUGGAUCACUUGUUCAUUUCUCCAUCCAUCCCAAAGGGUCCUUAAAUUAAUUGUUAAUGAUUUUUUUCUGCCCGAACACACUACAGCAAAAUGAUUCCUAAUGGCAAUUAAUAUUUCUUUUACCAGCAAUAGAAAUGGCCGCAAGUGAACCAGUUUCACUCAAUACACAUGUUCGUGCAAUGGUGCUAUAAUACACAUGCUCUGAUACCACUUUGUUGGAAGAAGAAGAAGAUUUUAUUUCAUUUGUCACACCAAAUACAAGAGUAUGAUCCCCUAUUUAUAUUAAAAUAGAGUGACCACUCACAAAAUUUGCUUAUUCAAGAAUAUUAAAUGUUCACAUAAUUGCUUAUUCAAGACUUUGUAACUCACAACCUUACAACUUGCAUAUUCCACGCUCAUAAAACUUGUUAUUAUUAUUUUUCUAAUUAAUAUCUAACAGGCUAUGACUAAAGCCGUGGUUAACAAAUUAAAGAAGCUCAUUUCUCACAUAAGAUACUUCCGUAUUGGCCAUUCAUUUUGGAGGUAAUUAAGUAGGUUCCUCUGCCACUGGAUAUACAUGAUCAAUUUCAUCAUAUGUGUGGAAUAGCCAGAAAUAUCUCAUUUACACUAUAUAUCAUGACCACGCCAAUUACCAAAAGUGUCUUGCAUGAGAUUCAAAAGGUUCAAAGUUCUUUUAAAUGGGGUGAUCAACAAAAUGAUGAGGCUGGAAUGUAGUAAAUUGGCACACCAUGAUGAUUCCUAAGAGGUGCAUAUGGGUAUGUGUAAAUUUGUAGAAUUGAACAACGCUUGCCUAAUUAAUGAAGCUAGGAUGGACAUUUAGGUCAAGGGAUCAUCGCUGUAGAGCGUGCGGUUUAAGAGGGAAAAUUUGGUCGCUGAAUUCUUGAGAAAGAGUACUGUGGAAGUCAGUGACUGGCAGAAGGAAACAAAACAACUUUUAGUUAUUUAGAUUAAUAUUUUCCAGCUGAUCCUAAAGCGUUAUUUGUGAUGAUAUAAGAGAUGUUAGACAAAAAUAAUGCGCGCGGAUUCAACAUUCCCGGAAGUUUUAACUCUUUAUUUUCGUGUCCUUCCAUGAAACUUCGUGUGUGAAGAACAUUAUGUGCUUUCCCUUUUUCAAAAUACUAUACUAUACUAUUUUAUCUUUGACCAUACAACAGUAGAUCACUUGCAUGUGAGCUAAUAUUCUUGUUAAAAAAUGUCGCAUAAAAGACAUAGCCGUCUUUUAUUAUAAUCAACAUUAUUGGCAAAGUAAGAAAAACACGUGUGGAACAAGUCAACAGGAUUUUUAUCAAACAAGGUAGGCAGAUGCAUGGUGUUUACUCAGUCUUCUAAGUCAGCAAUAGACAGCAUACUAUAUAUUAUUAUUAUUAUUAUUAUUAUUGAAUCAACGUCGUAGUCAUAGAGUGGCAGUAGGUAUUCCACUCCUUCCUAUAUAAAGAGGAAAGGUUUCGGAGAUAGAGAACACCAAAACAAUCAACUAAGAAAAACAUAUCACACAAUAUGGCAUUCAAGGGCUAUUUCCUUCUCGGCCUCGUUACUCUUGUUCUUGUUAAAUCUUCCAAAGUUACAUGCGAAGAAGAAUCAGUUAAUACAGUUUCACCCAUUAUUGACAUUUCACUCAAUCGGAAGAGUUUCCCAGAAGGGUUCAUAUUUGGGGCGGGAUCUUCCUCGUACCAGUUCGAAGGGGCAGCAAAGGAAGGUGGUAGAGGACCAAGUGUAUGGGAUACCUUCACCCAUAAUUAUCCAGGAAAGAUCAUGGAUAGAAGCAACGGAGACAUGGCAAUUGACUCAUAUCACAACUACAAGAAAGAUGUUGGGAUGAUGAAGGAUAUGAAUUUAGAUUCAUAUAGAUUUUCCAUAUCUUGGUCAAGAAUUCUCCCAAGUAAGUUAAUUUGCUUACACCCAAUGACUAAUUUGAAAUAAAUUUUCCCUAGUUGGAUGUUACCCAUUAACCAUUUUCUAAUUAAACUAUAUAUCUACAGAAGGAAAGCUAAGUGGAGGUAUCAAUCAAGAAGGAAUCAACUAUUACAACAACCUUAUCAAUGAGCUACUAGCUAAUGGUUAGAAUUUAAUUAUACUCAAUUGAUUCAACUUCAGCGUACUUCGACUUUAAUUUUUUAAUAUUUCGUUAUUGUUAAGAAUCAUAGUUAAUAAGAUAUUAACAUUUACAGGUAUACAACCACUUGUAACUCUCUUUCAUUGGGAUCUUCCUCAAGCUUUAGAAGAUGAGUAUGGUGGCUUUUUAAGUCCGCGCAUAGUGUAAGUUUCAAUUCUAAUACAUAGCUUAUUUGUGUACUUAGCACAUUAUAUUUAACAUCUAGAUAUGAAUAUAAUUUGUCUAACAAACAUAUAUUGAUCUUCAGGAAAGAUUUUCGAGACUAUGCAGAACUUUGCUUCAGGGAAUUUGGCGAUAGGGUGAAGUAUUGGGUUACAUUGAAUGAGCCAUGGAGUUACAGCCAAAAUGGCUAUGCAAAUGGGCGAAUGGCACCUGGCCGUUGUUCUGCAUGGAUGAAUCUGAAUUGCACUGGUGGUGAUUCUUCAACGGAGCCUUACUUGGUUACACAUCACCAACUUCUUGCUCAUGCAGCUGCUGUUCGUGUGUACAAGACCAAGUACCAGGUUAGUUUAUUUGUUCUUAAUCUUUUAGAUAUGCUACAAGGUUCACUUUGCCUUAUUAAACUUUACCUUGAGCCAGGAAUUAGAAAAAGGAAAUUCUCAUAAAGGUUGUUUGACAUUUUUGUUUUCUAACUAAAUAUUUAAAUACAAUGUAUGCAGGCAUCUCAAAAUGGUGUGAUAGGCAUAACCUUGGUAGCUAAUUGGUUUUUGCCGCUCAGAGAUACCAAAUCUGAUCAAAAGGCUACAGAAAGAGCAAUUGACUUCAUGUAUGGAUGGUAAGAGUUGAUCUUUCCCUUUAUGUAACUUUAUUUGAUGUUGAGAAUGCAUGCCCUGUUGAACAAAAAAAUUGAAUUGACAACUAAUUUAUUUUAUUUCAGGUUUAUGGAUCCAUUAACAUCUGGAGACUAUCCCAACAGCAUGCGAUCACUUGUGAGGACAAGAUUACCAAAGUUUACUGCAGAGCAAUCCAAACUACUUAUUGGUUCAUUUGAUUUUAUUGGCCUAAACUAUUACUCUACAACAUAUGCCUCUGACGCACCUGAUCUAAGCGAAGCCCGUCCUAGCUACUUAACAGAUUCUCUUGUCACUCCUGCAUGUAAGGACUUCAAUUGUCUAUCAUUCUAUCAAUUCCCUAAAUUGCAUGUAUUCAUUAUUAAAUAUGAUUGUGGCUGACAAUGGUUUGCCUUUUAUGCUUUUGAUUGAUUAUUACAGAUGAACGUGAUGGGAAACCUAUUGGAAUAAAGGUGUGUGUAUACACCAAAACAUGCAAAUGUUCUUCUAGUUAAAUCAUUACUUUUGAUAAAUAUAAAAACUAACUCUUUUUUUUUCGUAAUUAUGCAGAUUGCUUCUGAUUGGUUAUAUGUUUAUCCAAGAGGAAUUCGUGACCUUUUAUUAUAUACCAAAGAAAAGUACAAUAAUCCUUUGAUUUACAUCACUGAAAAUGGUAAAUAACACUUCUCUAAAUACUUGAUUUCCUUUAUUGCACUGACAUAUACUAUUCUACAUGAUUUUUAAUUUUCCUAACCAAAUGAUAAUGUGUCCUUACUUAUAUUUUACCUUCUCUUAAUUUAUAGGUAUAAAUGAGUAUAAUGAACCAACAUUAUCACUUGAGGAAUCUCUUAUAGAUACCUUCAGAAUUGAUUAUCAUUACCGUCAUCUCUUUUAUCUUCAAUCCGCAAUUAGGUAAGUAAUUAAUAUUUUAUUUGUAUAAAAGGUUUAUGUUAUUUUGUAUUCCAACUUCAUUUUUUUAAUUUUUACAUUAUGUAGGAAUGGCGCAAAUGUGAAGGGAUAUUAUGUAUGGUCUUUGUUCGACAAUUUUGAAUGGUCUUCAGGUUAUACAUCACGUUUUGGGAUGAUCUUCGUGGAUUACAAAAAUGGUUUGAAGAGAUACCAAAAGCUUUCAGCGCAAUGGUUCAAGAAUUUUCUCAAGAAAGAAAGAAGACUUUAUAGCUCUAGUAAAUAAUAUGAAAUUCGUUUAUUCAUUGGUUUUGUAAAUAAUUAUUUGGUUUUUCUUUGAUAUUCUUUUAUUCUAAAGAGGUCCUAAUUUGACUUAGAGGGUAUUGAUUAUUCUUUUAUUCUAAAGAGGUCCCAUUGGACUGAGAGGUGAAACAAAGAUGUGUAUCGGUUGAUUAUAGCUUCUAUAUAUUGUUAUUGUUAUGAUAAGAAUGAAAGAAACUUUUGGUUAUGAUAAAGUGAUAUCAUUUACAAAUUGAUUAUGUUUGCUAACUAAUUUACUGUGCAUCUUAUUGUUAAUUCUUUGACAAAUGUAUCAAUUUGUUCAAGUAAUAAAUAAAACGGUAAGACUGAAUGUCGAAUUCAUAGAGACUCUUGUACUUAGAGUGUAUAUAUAUGACUCUUGUACUUAGAGUGUAUAUAUAUCAAAUCAAAUCUUUUUCACUGAUUAUGCAUAAGUAUAAAUUGAUGUAAAUUAACUAAAAACAAAACAAAUGCUCGGAGUUGUGAAAUGACGUUGCUAAUGAGUUAUGGGACGUGUUGGGAGCUCAGUCUAUCUAAACUACUCUUGAUGUAAUCCUAAAUAAUUUUUCUCUAUUUAACAUUAAAUUGAUUAUUACCCACAUCCACUAAUAUAUUCUAACCAUGACCCCUCAAGUAAAAGAGCUUAAAUCACCUAAUAUCGUUCCUAAUCCCUUAAGAGUUAUAUCAAAUAAUUUGUAUUACGAGUAGAGAUGCAUAAAUCAGGCUAAAUAAUAUCAUUAUAUCCCUAGAUAUAGAUCACCUAAAUGUUAUUUCCAAGUUUUUAGAAUAUGAAUAUUUUCCAAUGUCAAAAUCCUAAAACAUUACAUGAGAUUGGAUGAUCAGCAUGAUAAUAAGUAUAGAAAAGAACAAUAAUAUCAUCAUAACAUUAAAUAGAUAGUUAGAAUCAUUAUAUCAAGAGAGUUUGGUUUGUAGAGCUCUGGAAAGAAAAUGGAAGAGAAAUAGAAUGAAAUGGAUCGGUCAGAGCUCUGGAAAUAGAUUUUUCUUCCACUGGCUAUGGCUCCUUUGUUUUCCUUUGCUUCCUCCUUUCUUCAACUUGAAGGAUGUUGUGAAUGAAUGCCUUUGUCUUCAAAAUAUCUUUCCAUUUGAUGACCAAUUAGAACCUCCUUUAUGCGCUUAGUGUGAUGCUCGCGCUAAGCACACAUGUUCAACUAGAUUAAGUGAUCACGCGCUAAGCUAUAGGAUGCGUGCUUAAUGCGCUUGCACAUGGCAACUGACUUUCAAGAUGACUUCUUGCACUAAGUAGGCUUUUUGGACUGAGCUAUCCUGAUGUGCUAAGCGAGACUAUUGCGUUGAGCGCGACACUCCAAUACUUCAAUAUUCUUCCAAACCUCUGCUGUAUCUCUACAAAAAAAUACAACCAAAAUUACUUAUAAUUUGAUCAACUUUAGCAUCUUCUGGAUAAAAACUCAGAAGAGGCUAAAUUCCUAUUGUUUUGACUCAAAAGAAGCAAUAAAAGAGAAACAAAUUAGAUAAUUAUUAUGUGAUUUAAAUAUACAAAUAACGUAGGCAUAACAUUUAUCAUUUAUAUUGGGGGGUUUUGUUUAAGUUAAUGAUAAUAAAGCUCACCCUUAGUUUGUUCUCAUCGUGUGGCUAGAAAAUAGAAAUAAUACGAACCUGCAAACUAUUAGCACUACACAAUGUAGCAAUUAAAGAAACUAACAGAGAAAAGAUGUGCUGGAUUUAAACACAUCCAUAUGAAAUCAUGGUCAAACACAUCCAAACAGAAAUAAACUUAAUUAAGUGAUGAGGCAAACUAAAGGUACAUGAGGAUAUAGCUUGAAUUCUGAAUGUGAAAAUUAAGGAAGCAAGAAAUUAUAUAAAAGAUGAAAAGAUUAAUUAAGCACCUCUUUGAUCACACACUUUUGAAUCUCUCACGAAUUCUUGGGGGGAACUCUCUGUUGUGCGUUGGUGAAGGUGGGUAAGCGAGAACGAUGGAUUUACUUGGUUCGAGGUCAAGGUCCCUCCUCGCUAAAGCUAGCUUUCUCGAAAUGUUUCUCUGCUUUAUUCGAAUAUGCACCAAGUUUUUAUACAAUGGGUUUACACUGUUUUCAGAUAGCUAACAACUCUAACAGUUUCUAACUAACAGCUUACGCCGUUGCAACUAACUAACCAAUGGCUCAACUAAUUAACCAAUGGUUCAACGAACUAACCCAUGGUUCACAAGUCAUGACUUAACUAUCUAUUGUCAUGCAUGCAUGCAGUCACGUGCUGGACAAUUAUACAUAACUCUCCAAGUGCCUAGGUCGCGUGAUAUUCCUUCGCGGAUGUUCCUCUCGAGUCACAGGUGGUGGGUCUUCGUUCCUACCUCUGUUAGAAAAUUAUCAGGCACGAAUUGCAUGAAAACGAAAAUAAAAAUUCGUGCUAAAUAACAUUUUUCCUUAAUAUAUAUAUAUAUAUAUAUAUAUAUGUGUGUGUGUGCGCGUGUGUGUUUUCGCAGCUGCAUCUAUAACACUGGACCAUUGUUUCAAGUCAUUCUACCUCUUCCUACAUUCACAAUUUUAUGUUUCUUAGAUGUUUGCUGUAAUUUAUCAUUUGUUUAAUUAUGACCCAUUUUUGUUACGGUGUUUCUUUUUUAUCAGCAAAAUAAAUUCAUUAAAGUAGAGGAUUUAGGGUAAAGGAGUUCACGUACCCAACGCCUUACACCACAACAACAUUUAAUACAACUCAAAACAAGCAUCCAUUGAUCCUUUAUCCCAAUCCUGAACCAACGCUAUAAAAUCGAUCUAAGCUUCAUAGUUCAUAUCAAUAAAAAAAUGUGCACAAACUUUCUAUACUGUUAAUCAUAUACAAGAACAGUCUUUUCCAGCACCAUAUGUGGUGUUAUGCUUUUGUGAUGUUGCUAUAAGUUAGGCUUCGCAAAUACUAUAUAUGCAAAGAGCGUUUCGGUCUGCAAAAUGCUUGAUGUUACAAGCAUCUGCAUGUUUCUUAAUUUUAUUCGGGUAUUGCCUUUUCUUCUUUCUAUUUUAACUAUUAUGUUUACUUUUAUCUCAUUAUAGAUUGGGUGUAUACAUUCAAAUGACAAACUAAUCAAAUAAUAUUUCAUUUUUUUUAAACUAAUUUAAAAAGGAUUGUUAUUUGUAAAUAAAUAGAGCUUUAGAAAAAUGAUAAAUUUUUUAUAAUCAAAUAAAUAAGGAGAAAUAAAUUUAUUAAUUAAAAUAAUAGUUUGAGAGAAAAUAAAAAUAGUAUUUUAUUUAUUCAUUUGAUAGGGAAUAAAAUAGAGUUUAUUUUUAUAAAAUGAUAAAAAUAAAUAAAUAGAGUAAAUGAUAAGUUGUAAGUACCCUAGCUAGAGACGUGUUAGAUCAGUUUUUAGACUGACGAUGCCUCAUCUUUUUUUCAAUUUCGUUUUCUCCACUCCUCCUCCCAAAAUCCUCUCUUUUUCUCGCAUACCUCCAAACCUAUCUCAGAAAAAUGAUGAUCUCGGACCCAUUCACCAUUGGAUUGUCAUGAAAUUUGAGCACCGUGGUUGGAACUCAUUUACGAACAUUCUCACUAUUGGGAAUUAUGAAAAGAUAUUGGAGUUGAGAGAAAAAUUCUUUUUAUCGCAACUUUUUUUUCCAUAGAAACCCAAAACUGUCUCAGUAAAAUUAUGAUCUUGGACUCGUAGCCAUUGGAUUAUUGUGAAAUUUUGAUAUGAGGUUCAAGAUUUAAUUCCACACACCUUCACCUUUGAGAUUUGCGAAAUAAUUUUCGUGGAGAGAGAAAAAUGAAUCGCACGAAGACAUUACAAAAUGGAGGCUUCAAUCUCUUCUCCUUCUCUCUGACGUUUGGGAACCCUAUCAGAACAGUCGGAGGAAAAAUUGGAGAAAUCUCAGGAAACUGUUAGAGAUGUCGCUAUUACUAUCACAAUGUACACGUGAGUCUGCUUAGAGGUAAGGGAUACGUUUAUCGCAAUUGGGGUUAGAAUGAACAUGUGUAGGAUUUCUUAGAGGAUUAAAUUGAGAUUUAUUUUGAGAUGUUUAUUGAAUUACAAUUUUUCCUUUACGAUUAUAAAUACAAUAUUGUUUUUUAUAUGUACCAUUUGAUGUUCUGAUGAGAAUUAAUUGACAAACUUGAAUGCUCUUGAUGUUUUUUGAACCAUGUGAUAGGAAUAUUACAAUAACCUAAUUUGUUAGGCUUGUCCCCUAUUGGCAGACAAGCAUCAACCAAGCAAGAUUACAAGCAUCAACCAAGUAGAUUACGGUACUAGCUGUGUCCAUUUCCUCAUGCAUAGUCAUAGUUGUUGAGGUAAGAUGGUUUUGAAAUCUUUCUUUUGGGCUUUUCUUCUCCUUGCACCCUAGUUUUUGGCUUUGUAACUAUUGUUCCUGUUCUGUUUGCUGCUUCUGAUUCCUUAUCAUGAGCCUUAAAUAUAAAAUCUAGCAAUUCAAAAAUUGAAAGAACGAAUUACAUCCAGAUAGAGAUAUAUACAAGUAUGAAAUCAUCAAAACUUAAACUAAUAAACGACAUGCAUAAUCUGCAAUCUCCUUCAUCGGCACAAGGUUGCCACUAGCUAGCCAAAAAUGUUUAAUGUUCAAUUGAUUGUGUGUAUAUCAGUCAAAAUCUUAAUUUAUUAAUUCUAUUAAAAUCUUGAUUUUCAAACAAGGAUAAAUAAUCAAUAUUCUUGUGGGAAAUGUUCUUCACGUGAGAGUGAUUUUUGGGGUUAUUCUUUGAGUGGGUGUUUCUAAGAGUUUUUUCAACAAAAACGUUUUUGGAUAUUUUAUUAACUCCUUAUCUUUUUCAUUCUAUAAUUGCCAUAUUCAUUUCUAAAUUAAAUUUUAAUAUUUUUCAAAAAAUUUGCCAAUAGUUCAAAAUAAAGCCGUGGUUAACAAAUUAAAGAAUCUCAUUUCUCACAUAAGAUAUUUCCGUAUUGGCCAUUCAUUUUGGAGUUAAUUAAGUAGAUUCCUCUGCCGCUGGAUAUACAUGAUCAAUUUCAUCAUAAGUGUGGAAUAGCCAGAAAUAUCUCAUUUACACUAUAUAUCAUGACCACGCCAAUUACCAAAAGUGUCUUGCAUGAGAUUCAAAAGGUUCAAAGUUCUUUUAAAUGGGGUGAUCAACAAAAUGAUGAGGCUGGAAUGUAGUAAAUUGGCACACCAUGAUGAUUCCUAAGAGGUGCAUAUGGGUAUGUGUAAAUUUGUAGAAUUGAACAACGCUUGCCUAAUUAAUGAAGCUAGGAUGGACAUUUAGGUCAAGGGAUCAUCGCUGUAGAGCGUGCGGUUUAAGAGGGAAAAUUUGGUCGCUGAAUUCUUGAGAAAGAGUACUGUGGAAGUCAGUGACUGGCAGAAGGAAACAAAACAACUUUUAGUUAUUUAGAUUAAUAUUUUCCAGCUGAUCCUAAAGCGUUAUUUGUGAUGAUAUAAGAGAUGUUAGACAAAAAUAAUGCGCGCGGAUUCAACAUUCCCGGAAGUUUUAACUCUUUAUUUUCGUGUCCUUCCAUGAAACUUCGUGUGUGAAGAACAUUAUGUGCUUUCCCUUUUUCAAAAUACUAUACUAUACUAUUUUAUCUUUGACCAUACAACAGUAGAUCACUUGCAUGUGAGCUAAUAUUCUUGUUAAAAAAUGUCGCAUAAAAGACAUAGCCGUCUUUUAUUAUAAUCAACAUUAUUGGCAAAGUAAGAAAAACACGUGUGGAACAAGUCAACAGGAUUUUUAUCAAACAAGGUAGGCAGAUGCAUGGUGUUUACUCAGUCUUCUAAGUCAGCAAUAGACAGCAUACUAUAUAUUAUUAUUAUUAUUAUUAUUAUUGAAUCAACGUCGUAGUCAUAGAGUGGCAGUAGGUAUUCCACUCCUUCCUAUAUAAAGAGGAAAGGUUUCGGAGAUAGAGAACACCAAAACAAUCAACUAAGAAAAACAUAUCACACAAUAUGGCAUUCAAGGGCUAUUUCCUUCUCGGCCUCGUUACUCUUGUUCUUGUUAAAUCUUCCAAAGUUACAUGCGAAGAAGAAUCAGUUAAUACAGUUUCACCCAUUAUUGACAUUUCACUCAAUCGGAAGAGUUUCCCAGAAGGGUUCAUAUUUGGGGCGGGAUCUUCCUCGUACCAGUUCGAAGGGGCAGCAAAGGAAGGUGGUAGAGGACCAAGUGUAUGGGAUACCUUCACCCAUAAUUAUCCAGGAAAGAUCAUGGAUAGAAGCAACGGAGACAUGGCAAUUGACUCAUAUCACAACUACAAGAAAGAUGUUGGGAUGAUGAAGGAUAUGAAUUUAGAUUCAUAUAGAUUUUCCAUAUCUUGGUCAAGAAUUCUCCCAAGUAAGUUAAUUUGCUUACACCCAAUGACUAAUUUGAAAUAAAUUUUCCCUAGUUGGAUGUUACCCAUUAACCAUUUUCUAAUUAAACUAUAUAUCUACAGAAGGAAAGCUAAGUGGAGGUAUCAAUCAAGAAGGAAUCAACUAUUACAACAACCUUAUCAAUGAGCUACUAGCUAAUGGUUAGAAUUUAAUUAUACUCAAUUGAUUCAACUUCAGCGUACUUCGACUUUAAUUUUUUAAUAUUUCGUUAUUGUUAAGAAUCAUAGUUAAUAAGAUAUUAACAUUUACAGGUAUACAACCACUUGUAACUCUCUUUCAUUGGGAUCUUCCUCAAGCUUUAGAAGAUGAGUAUGGUGGCUUUUUAAGUCCGCGCAUAGUGUAAGUUUCAAUUCUAAUACAUAGCUUAUUUGUGUACUUAGCACAUUAUAUUUAACAUCUAGAUAUGAAUAUAAUUUGUCUAACAAACAUAUAUUGAUCUUCAGGAAAGAUUUUCGAGACUAUGCAGAACUUUGCUUCAGGGAAUUUGGCGAUAGGGUGAAGUAUUGGGUUACAUUGAAUGAGCCAUGGAGUUACAGCCAAAAUGGCUAUGCAAAUGGGCGAAUGGCACCUGGCCGUUGUUCUGCAUGGAUGAAUCUGAAUUGCACUGGUGGUGAUUCUUCAACGGAGCCUUACUUGGUUACACAUCACCAACUUCUUGCUCAUGCAGCUGCUGUUCGUGUGUACAAGACCAAGUACCAGGUUAGUUUAUUUGUUCUUAAUCUUUUAGAUAUGCUACAAGGUUCACUUUGCCUUAUUAAACUUUACCUUGAGCCAGGAAUUAGAAAAAGGAAAUUCUCAUAAAGGUUGUUUGACAUUUUUGUUUUCUAACUAAAUAUUUAAAUACAAUGUAUGCAGGCAUCUCAAAAUGGUGUGAUAGGCAUAACCUUGGUAGCUAAUUGGUUUUUGCCGCUCAGAGAUACCAAAUCUGAUCAAAAGGCUACAGAAAGAGCAAUUGACUUCAUGUAUGGAUGGUAAGAGUUGAUCUUUCCCUUUAUGUAACUUUAUUUGAUGUUGAGAAUGCAUGCCCUGUUGAACAAAAAAAUUGAAUUGACAACUAAUUUAUUUUAUUUCAGGUUUAUGGAUCCAUUAACAUCUGGAGACUAUCCCAACAGCAUGCGAUCACUUGUGAGGACAAGAUUACCAAAGUUUACUGCAGAGCAAUCCAAACUACUUAUUGGUUCAUUUGAUU
rnacentral:lncRNA from 1 species